CAUGUAAACACACAGUGAUUUUCUAUUAGUAUGCAUUUUUAGUAUUGAUUUAAUGGAUUAAUUGUCUCUCUCUUUCUGUUUCUUCCUCACCUGUAGAGAACACACUGAGUCCCAGAGCUGUUUAAGACCGAGACUCAGGAUUUAAGCUUGUGGUGCGGUCCACCUGGGAGCCCUAGAUGAGUAUUUAAUUCUUCGACUGUGUAUGUGAGCCAGGAGAAGAGCGACUUUGAUAGACUCCAUUACCCACUUCCGGAUAUUCUUCCCGAAGCAGUCCUUUCUAGACAUAUUCAGGAGAGGAGCAAGCAUUUCCUGAUACGCUCAGACAAAGUGCGGCACUUUGAAAGCUGUUUAGCACUGAUUGGAGUCCUUUCUGCUCUCCGCCAGAGAGAAUACCUCUUCAGGUGCCGGUGUCAAGCAUCUCUGAUACAGGCUGCGCCUCCUCCAUGCUACGAGACCCUCCCCUGAUCAAUCAAGGUUGACAGAGAAGGCCUUUGUGCGACGCUCCAAGGAACAGAUGUCUGCCUGAGAGAGCGCUUCACCUGGAGCUGCUGGAUUAACCGUGGCCUCGCUUUGAUGGAUUAGCAUGUACGGAAAUUGCCCGAUUAUUGAUAUGAAAAUAUUUGCAAACGAGGGGAAACUGGUGACGUGAGGGGUGAGGGGCGCGAAGACGCUAAGAGAGCUUAUCAGCCUUCCUUCCAACCUUGUCCCUCGCUUCCUACAGAAAGGGGAAAAGAAGAGGGGUAGAAAAGACAGAUGAGGGCACAGGGAGGAGAAAGAGAACUGCUGUGUGUCAGCGUGGCAGUAUUCAGCUGCCCUUCAUGAAAUAUUGUUCACCAUUAUAUUAACAGAGCUGAGUGGAAAGAGAUAAGAGAGCUUCUGAAAUAGUAAGCAGAAUGUCCCGAGGAGAUAUUUCAAUCUUUAUUCUCUGUCGCUCUCCCUCUCUUUUUCUCCCUCUUACCCCAUCUUUUUCUUUCAUUUAGGGCAACGGGUGAAUGUGAAAUGUGCCGAGACCUUUAUAAAUGAAGACAGGGCCGGGGAAAUGAUGACAUCAUCAACUCCCACAUAAUUGCUUGAUUUGUCACUCUGUAAAAGGAGAGGAUCUGGGUGGGGGGGGGGGGGGUGUUGGUCCCUUCAGGACAACCACUUUCAUUACAUUUUUUAACUAGCCACAGAGAGAGGGCUAAGGGUUUGCACGCCUGCAAAAAAAUAUGUUGAUCUUAUGCAUAAUUAUACAGCGUGCGUAAAGGCGUGCAAAAUUAUAUAACUGAAAUUACACAUUUGGGAGUGAGAUCAACCAAAGAGAGGCUUACCACUUCAGUCUGUUUGACCUCUUGGAGAGACGUUACUGUGACACACCACACUGUGGUGGAGGAAGAGAGAGAAAUAUGGAGGAAAAGAGUAUUUUAAAGGAGUAAUUGCAACUUCCAUGACAAAUAUAAAUAAAUGAAAUAAAAAUAAUGAUGUGUAUAUAUAU
ensembl:lncRNA